AGCGAACGCUGGCGGCAGGCCUAACACAUGCAAGUCGAACGGACCCUUCGGGGUUAGUGGCGGACGGGUGAGUAACACGUGGGAACGUGCCUUUAGGUUCGGAAUAGCUCCUGGAAACGGGUGGUAAUGCCGAAUGUGCCCUUCGGGGGAAAGAUUUAUCGCCUUUAGAGCGGCCCGCGUCUGAUUAGCUUGUUGGUGGGGUAAUGGCCCACCAAGGCUACGAUCAGUAGCUGGUCUGAGAGGAUGACCAGCCACAUUGGGACUGAGACACGGCCCAAACUCCUACGGGAGGCAGCAGUGGGGAAUCUUGCGCAAUGGGCGAAAGCCUGACGCAGCCAUGCCGCGUGUAUGAUGAAGGUCUUAGGAUUGUAAAAUACUUUCACCGGUGAAGAUAAUGACUGUAGCCGGAGAAGAAGCCCCGGCUAACUUCGUGCCAGCAGCCGCGGUAAUACGAAGGGGGCUAGCGUUGCUCGGAAUUACUGGGCGUAAAGGGAGCGUAGGCGGACAUUUAAGUCAGAGGUGAAAUCCCGGAGCUCAACUCCGGAACUGCCCUUGAUACUGGAUGUCUUGAGUGUGAGAGAGGUAUGUGGAACUCCGAGUGUAGAGGUGAAAUUCGUAGAUAUUCGGAAGAACACCAG
rnacentral:rRNA from 1 species